rnacentral:rRNA from 1 species
AAAUUGAAGAGUUUGAUCAUGGCUCAGAUUGAACGCUGGCGGCAGGCCUAACACAUGCAAGUCGAGCGGUAGCACAGAGAGCUUGCUCUCGGGUGACGAGCGGCGGACGGGUGAGUAAUGUCUGGGAAACUGCCUGAUGGAGGGGGAUAACUACUGGAAACGGUAGCUAAUACCGCAUAACGUCGCAAGACCAAAGUGGGGGACCUUCGGGCCUCAUGCCAUCAGAUGUGCCCAGAUGGGAUUAGCUAGUAGGUGGGGUAAUGGCUCACCUAGGCGACGAUCCCUAGCUGGUCUGAGAGGAUGACCAGCCACACUGGAACUGAGACACGGUCCAGACUCCUACGGGAGGCAGCAGUGGGGAAUAUUGCACAAUGGGCGCAAGCCUGAUGCAGCCAUGCCGCGUGUAUGAAGAAGGCCUUCGGGUUGUAAAGUACUUUCAGCGAGGAGGAAGGCGUUAAGGUUAAUAACCUUGGCGAUUGACGUUACUCGCAGAAGAAGCACCGGCUAACUCCGUGCCAGCAGCCGCGGUAAUACGGAGGGUGCAAGCGUUAAUCGGAAUUACUGGGCGUAAAGCGCACGCAGGCGGUCUGUCAAGUCGGAUGUGAAAUCCCCGGGCUCAACCUGGGAACUGCAUUCGAAACUGGCAGGCUAGAGUCUUGUAGAGGGGGGUAGAAUUCCAGGUGUAGCGGUGAAAUGCGUAGAGAUCUGGAGGAAUACCGGUGGCGAAGGCGGCCCCCUGGACAAAGACUGACGCUCAGGUGCGAAAGCGUGGGGAGCAAACAGGAUUAGAUACCCUGGUAGUCCACGCCGUAAACGAUGUCGACUUGGAGGUUGUGCCCUUGAGGCGUGGCUUCCGGAGCUAACGCGUUAAGUCGACCGCCUGGGGAGUACGGCCGCAAGGUUAAAACUCAAAUGAAUUGACGGGGGCCCGCACAAGCGGUGGAGCAUGUGGUUUAAUUCGAUGCAACGCGAAGAACCUUACCUACUCUUGACAUCCACAGAACUUAGCAGAGAUGCUUUGGUGCCUUCGGGAACUCUGAGACAGGUGCUGCAUGGCUGUCGUCAGCUCGUGUUGUGAAAUGUUGGGUUAAGUCCCGCAACGAGCGCAACCCUUAUCCUUUGUUGCCAGCGGUUAGGCCGGGAACUCAAAGGAGACUGCCAGUGAUAAACUGGAGGAAGGUGGGGAUGACGUCAAGUCAUCAUGGCCCUUACGAGUAGGGCUACACACGUGCUACAAUGGCAUAUACAAAGAGAAGCGACCUCGCGAGAGCAAGCGGACCUCAUAAAGUAUGUCGUAGUCCGGAUUGGAGUCUGCAACUCGACUCCAUGAAGUCGGAAUCGCUAGUAAUCGUAAAUCAGAAUGCUACGGUGAAUACGUUCCCGGGCCUUGUACACACCGCCCGUCACACCAUGGGAGUGGGUUGCAAAAGAAGUAGGUAGCUUAACCUUCGGGAGGGCGCUUACCACUUUGUGAUUCAUGACUGGGGUGAAGUCGUAACAAGGUAACCGUAGGGGAACCUGCGGUUGGAUCACCUCCUUA